rnacentral:lncRNA from 1 species
GUUGUCGUUGCUGUAGCUGUUGACAUCGCGGCAGUGGUCGGCAUGGUGGUGGUUUCGGUUGUCAUGGGAGUUGUUGUCGUUGCAGUAGUAGUUGAAGUCGCGGCAGUGGUCGGCGUGGUUGUGCUUUCAGUUGUCGUGGGAGUUGUCAUUUCAGUAGUGGUUGACGUCGCGGCACUGGUCGGCAUGGUGGUGGUUCCGGUUGUCGUAGGAGUUGUAGUCGUUGCAGUAGUGGUUGACGUCGCGGCAGUGGUCGGUAUGGUGGUGGUUUCGGUUGUCAUGGGAGUUGUUGUCGUUGCUGUAGUAGUUGACGUCGCGGUAGUGGUUGGAGCUGUUGUGCUUUGGGUUGUCGUGGGAUUUGUCAUUUCAGUAGUGGUUGACGUCGCGGCACUGGUCGGCAUGGUGGUGGUUCCGGUUGUCGUAGGAGUUGUAGUCGUUGCAGUAGUGGUUGACGUCGCGGCAGUGUUCGGCAUGGUGGUGGUUCCGGUUGUCGUGGGAGUGGUUGUCGUUUCAGUAGUAGUUGACAUCGUUGUACUUGUCAGGGUGGUGGUUGUUUCGGUUGUCGUGGGAGUUGUAGUCGUUGCAGUAGUAGUUGUCGUUUCAGUAGUUGUUGUCGUUUCAGUAGUAGUUGACAUCGCGGUAGUGGGUGAUGCCGCAGCAGUGGUCGGCGUGGUGGUGGUUCCGGUUGUCGUGGGAGUUGUAGUAGUUUCAGUAGAAGUUGACGUUGCAGUAGUGGUUGGUGUGGUUAUGCUUUCGGUUGUUGUGGGAGUUGUGGUCGUUUCAGUAGUGGUUGACGCAGAGGUAGUGGUCGGAGUGGUUGUGCUUUCGGUUGUUGUGGGAGUUGUAGUCGUUGCUUUAGUAGUUGACGUUGCGGUAGUGGGUGAUGCCGCAGCAGUGGUCGGCGUGGUGGUGGUUUCGGUUCUCGUGGGAGUUGUAGUCAUUUCAGAAGUCGUUGACGUUCCGGUAGUGGGUGAUGCCGCAGCAGUGGUCGGCGUGGUGGUGGUUCCGGUUGUCGUGGGAGUUGUAGUAGUUUCAGUAGAAGUUGACGUUGCAGUAGUGGUUGGUGUGGUUAUGCUUUCGGUUGUUGUGGGAGUUGUAGUCGUUUCAGUAGUGGUUGACGUCGCGGCAGUGGUCGGCAUGGUGGUGGUUCCGGUUGUCGUGGGAGUUGUAGUCGUUGCAGUAGUGGUUGACGUCGCGGCAGUGUUCGGCAUGGUGGUGGUUCCGGUUGUCGUGGGAGUUGUAGUCAUUUCAGUAGUGAUUGACGCAGAGGUAGUGGUCGGAGUGGUUGUGCUUUCGGUUGUUGUGGGAGUUGUAGUCGUUUCAGUAGUGGUUGACGUCGCGGUCGUGGUUGGAGUGUUUGUGGUUUCGGUUGUCGUGGGAGUUGUAGUCAUUUCAGGAGUAGUUGACGUUGCGGUAGUGGUCGGAGUGGUUGUGCUUUCGGUUGUCGUUGGAGUAGUAGUCGUUUCAGUUGUAGUUGACGUCGCAGUAGUGGUUGGCGUGGUUAUGCUUUCGGUUAUCGUGGGAGUUGUUGUCGUUGCUGUAGUAGUUGACGUCGCAGAAGUGGUUGACACCGCGGCAGUCGUCGGCGUGGUGGUGGUUCCGGUUGUCGUGGGAGUUGUAGUCGUUGCAGUAGUGGUUGACGUCGCGGCAGUGUUCGGCAUGGUGGUGGUUUCGGUUGUCGUGGGAGUUGUUGUCGUUUCAGUAGUAGUUGACGCAGAGGUAGUGGUCGGAGCUGUUGUGCUUUGGGUUGUCGUGGGAGUUGUUGUCGUUGCUGUAGUAGUUGACGUCGCGGUAGUGGGUGAUGCCGCAGCAGUGGUCGGCGUGGUGGUGGUUCCGAUUGUCGUGGGAGUUGUUGUCGUUUCAGUAGUAGUUGACAUCGCGGUAGUGGGUGAUGCCGCAGCAGUGGUCGGCGUGGUGGUGGUUCCGGUUGUCGUGGGAGUUGUAGUAGUUUCAGUAGAAGUUGACGUUGCAGUAGUGGUUGGUGUGGUUAUGCUUUCGGUUGUUGUGGGAGUUGUGGUCGUUUCAGUAGUGGUUGACGCAGAGGUAGUGGUCGGAGUGGUUGUGCUUUCGGUUGUUGUGGGAGUUGUAGUCGUUGCUGUAGUAGUUGACGUCGCGGUAGUGGGUGAUGCCGCAGCAGUGGUCGGCGUGGUGGUGGUUCCGGUUGUCGUGGGAGUUGUAGUAGUUUCAGUAGAAGUUGACGUUGCAGUAGUGGUUGGUGUGGUUAUGCUUUCGGUUGUUGUGGGAGUUGUAGUCGUUUCAGUAGUGGUUGACGUCGCGGUCGUGGUUGGAGUGUUUGUGGUUUCGGUUGUCGUGGGAGGUGUAAUCAUUUCAGUAGUGGUUGACGUCGCGGUAGUGGUCGGAGUGGUUGUGCUUUCGGUUGUUGUGGGAGUUGUAGUCAUUUCAGGAGUAGUUGACGUUGCGGUAGUGGUCGGAGUGGUUGUGCUUUCGGUUGUCGUUGGAGUAGUAGUCGUUUCAGUUGUAGUUGACGUUGCAGUAGUGGUUGGCGUGGUUAUGCUUUCGGUUAUCGUGGGAGUUGUUGUCCUUGCUGUAGUAGUUGACGUCGCAGAAGUGGUUGACGCUGCGGCAGUAGUCGGCGUGGUGGUGGUUUCAGUUCUCGUGGGAAUUGUAGUCGUUGCAGUAGUAGUUGACGUCGUGGAAGUGGUUGACGCCGCGGCAGUGGUCGGCGUGGUGGUUGUGCUUUCGAUUGUUGUGGGAGUUGUAGUAGUUGCAGUAGAAGUUGACGUCGCAGUAGUGGUUGGCGUGGUUAUGCUUUCAGUUGUCAUGGGAGUUGUCGUUUCAGUAGUGGUUGACGUCGUGGAAGUGGUUGACGCCGCAGCAGUAGUCAGCGUGGUGGUCGUUUCAGUAGUAGCUGAGGCCACGGUAGUGGUCGGCGUGGUUGUGCUUUCGGUUGUCAUGGGAGUUGUAGUCAUUUCAGUAAUAGUUGACGUCGCGGAAGUGGGUGACACCGCAGCAGUGGUCGGCGUGGUGGUGGUUUCGGUUGUCGUGGGAGUUGACGUCGUUUCAGAAGUAGUUGAAGUCGCGGUAGUGGUCGGCGUGGUGAUGCUUUCGGUUGUCGUGGGAGUUGUAGUCGUUGCAGUAGCUGUUGAUAUCGCGGCAGUGCUCAGCGUGGUGGUGGUUUCAGUUGUCGAGGGAGGUGUAGUCAUUUCAGUAGUAGUUGACGCAGAGGUAGUGGUCGGAGUGGUUGUGCUUUCGGUUGUUGUGGGAGUUGUAGUCGUUUCAGUAGUGGUUGACGUCGCGGUCGUGGUUGGAGUGUUUGUGGUUUCGGUUGUUGUGGGAGUUGUAGUCAUUUCAGGAGUAGUUGACGUUGCAGUAGUGGUCGGAGUGGUUGUGCUUUCGGUUGUCGUUGGAGUAGUAGUCGUUUCAGUUGUAGUUGACGUCGCAGUAGUGGUCGGCGUGGUUGUGCUUUCGGUUGUCGUUGUCAUUGUAAUCAUUUCUGUAGUACCUGAUGUCACUGUUGUGGUCGGAGUGGUUGUGUUUUCGGUUGCCGUUGGAGUUGUAGUCGUUUCGUUUGUAUUUUGGCCUUUUAUUGCUGUGGCUUGAGAGCAAUGUGCAAACAUUAGUUUUAAAUUUUAAUUUAAGCCUUUGUGCUUUUACAUUUUUCGAUGUAUACUUUAUACUAUGUUAAACCAUGUAGAAUUUGUUUAUCUUAGUCUUGAAGUUUAACAUUUUUUCAAAAUCUUUUUAUUGGAUAUCCUCAGUUCAGUAGAUUCCAGAUUGAUUCUAUAUAUUUUCCAUUUUGCUUAUUUAAUAAUAUGUUAAAUUUAUGUUCAUGAUGCUGAAGGUGUGAAUUGUUGAAGGAAUCAUUUCAUGGCUCUUUAUCCUUACCAGUCAAAAGAAAGAGUGCGAAUCUCCCCACCGUCCACAUAGUGGCAAGAAGUUCUCGUCACCUGCAAUGUGAACACUUUCUUUAGUAUUAAUACGAGUUCAGCGUGAAGAGCUCCAUGUUUAGUAUUUAUAUGAGUGCAGUGUCAAGUGCUCAGUGUUGACUAAUAGUAUGAUUACAGUGUUAAGGACUGUUUUCCUAUGCUUCAAAGCCAAUAAUUUGUGUUGUUUGUAUUUGUACAUUGAUCAAAUGUUAUUACUUCCCUAAGUAUUGUGUUCCAAUUUGAUAUGCUGACAGUACAUAAAGAUUGCACAAGCCAGGCGGUUUGUUAUAGAGUAAAUU